rnacentral:rRNA from 1 species
UACGGGGGGAGCAAGCGUUGGUUCGGAUUUACUGGGCGUAAAGGGCGCGUAGGCGGUCGUGACAAGUCACUUGUGAAAUCUCCGGGCUUAACUCGGAACGGUCAAGUGAUACUGUCGGACUAGAGUACAGAAGGGGCAACUGGAAUUCUCGGUGUAGCGGUGAAAUGCGUAGAUAUCGAGAGGAACACCUGCGGCGAAGGCGGGUUGCUGGGCUGAUACUGACGCUGAGGCGCGGAAAGCCCAGGGGAGGCGAAA